rnacentral:rRNA from 1 species
UUGAACGCUGGCGGCAUGCCUUACACAUGCAAGUCGAACGGUAACGGGCCUUCGGGCGCCGACGAGUGGCGAACGGGUGAGUAAUACAUCGGAACGUGCCCGAUCGUGGGGGAUAACGAGGCGAAAGCUUUGCUAAUACCGCAUACGAUCUACGGAUGAAAGCAGGGGACCGCAAGGCCUUGCGCGGACGGAGCGGCCGAUGGCAGAUUAGGUAGUUGGUGGGAUAAAAGCUUACCAAGCCGACGAUCUGUAGCUGGUCUGAGAGGAUGAUCAGCCACACUGGGAGUGAGACACGGCCCAGACUCCUACGGGAGGCAGCAGUGGGGAAUGUUGGACAAUGGGCGCAAGCCUGAUCCAGCCAUGCCGCGUGCAGGAUGAAGGCCUUCGGGUUGUAAACUGCUUUUGUACGGAACGAAAAGCCUUCUUUUAAUACAGGAGGGUCAUGACGGUACCGGAAGAAUAAGCACCGGCUAACUACGUG